rnacentral:rRNA from 1 species
CGAACGCUGGCGGCGUGCUUAACACAUGCAAGUCGAACGCGAAAGGGACUUCGGUCCUGAGUAAAGUGGCGCACGGGUGAGUAACGCGUAGAUAACCUGUCUUCAUGUCUGGAAUAAUACGCCGAAAGGGGUACUAAUACCGGAUAUUCUUGCUUUUCAUAAGUUAUGCAAGCAAAGGUGGCCUCUGCAUAUGCUACUGCAUGAAGAGGGGUCUGCGUACCAUUAGCUAGUAGGUGGGGUAAUGGCCUACCUAGGUGACGAUGGUUAGCGGGUCUGAGAGGAUGAUCCGCCACACUGGCACUGGAACACGGGCCAGACUCCUACGGGAGGCAGCAGUGAGGAAUAUUGCGCAAUGGGGGAAACCCUGACGCAGCGACGCCGCGUGAGUGAAGGAAGGCCUUCGGGUCGUAAAGCUCUGUCAAGAGGAAAGAAGUGUACAAUGGCUAAUACCUGUUGUAUUUGACGGUACCUCUAAAGGAAGCACCGGCUAACUCCGUGCCAGCAGCCGC